rnacentral:rRNA from 1 species
GACGAACGCUGGCGGCGUGCCUAAUACAUGCAAGUUGAGCGAUGAAGAUUGGUGCUUGCACCAAUUUGAAGAGCAGCGAACGGGUGAGUAACGCGUGGGGAAUCUGCCUUUGAGCGGGGGGCAACAUUUGGAAACGAAUGCUAAUACCGCAUAACAACUUUAAACAUAAGUUUUAAGUUUGAAAGAUGCAAUUGCAUCACUCAAAGAUGAUCCCGCGUUGUAUUAGCUAGUUGGUGAGGUAAAGGCUCACCAAGGCGAUGAUACAUAGCCGACCUGAGAGGGUGAUCGGCCACAUUGGGACUGAGACACGGCCCAAACUCCUACGGGAGGCAGCAGUAGGGAAUCUUCGGCAAUGGACGAAAGUCUGACCGAGCAACGCCGCGUGAGUGAAGAAGGUUUUCGGAUCGUAAAACUCUGUUGGUAGAGAAGAACGUUGGUGAGAGUGGAAAGCUCAUCAAGUGACGGUAACUACCCAGAAAGGGACGGCUAACUACGU